AUUAAUAAUCUGUGCUAACUGCUGACGUUUAUUGUGACAUUUGACACGCCAUUGCAAAGAAAUGCCAAUAAUUUUUAUACAACAAUUAAAAUGGACGUCGGCGAACUAUUGUCUUUUAAGCCUACCCCAGCACCUAAGCGUCCUAAUGAAGAUGAACUUGGAGUUUCUGAUGAGGAAAGUGUACGUUCGAAAAAAAGGACGUCGAAGAGCAGUCGGUUCGGAAUUGGAAAGAUCUGCAAAGAUCCCAACCAUCAUCAUCUACCCAAAGAACCUGCUAUAACUGACAAUUUGUAGAAAAUGUUGUUACAGAGGAAUUUCAUCAUCACUAGUUGAAUCUCCAGAGUGACUUUGAUAACAGGCGCAAGUCACCGCCAAAUUGUCAGCAAUUGCCGACAUGGCUAAACCGUUUGAGAAGGAAGACAUGACUGAACCGUACGAGAAGGGAAAGGUACACUGAAAGACACGCGUAUCAGGAAAUGAUACAUCGGAAGAAAAGUGAGCGUCUAUAUUUGUAAAGCAAAAGCCGAUACACUGACAUGAUACAGCUUAUGCUAAGUAUGGACGUGUUUUUUACAAAAUACGCCUUAAAGAUACGACAUGGACAAAAUGAGCGUCCAUAUUUAUGAUACAAAUAGUAGAUACGAUACGACUGAUCGUGAUACGCCAACAUGCUACAAAUGUGGA